GCGGCUNNGGCAGCCUACCGUGCAGUCGAGCGGUAGCACGGGACUGCCUGCUCUAUUGGCGGCCAGUGGCGUACGGGUGGCUAAUAUUUCGGAACGUGCCCAGAAACGGGGGAUAACUACUCGAAAGAGUGGCUAAUACCGCAUACGCCCUUCAUUUGAAGGGGGGGAUCCCAAGACCUCUCAUGAUGCGCCGGCCGAUAUCGGAUUGGGGUGGGGCGGGGUAAAGGCUCGAUAAGCAACGAUCCUUAUCUGGUUUGAAAGGACCACCAUGCACACGGGGCCUGAAACACAGCCCAAACUCCUACGGCAGGCAGCAGUGGGGAAUUUUGGACGCUGGUGGAAACCCUGAUCGCCCCGUGCCGGAUGAAUGAUGAAUGCCUUCGGGUUGUCUUUUACUUUUGACAAAGACGAAUUAGUUUCCCCUAAUACGGGAUACUGCUGACGGUAUGUGCAGAAUACUCACCGCCUAACUACGUGCCAGCACGCACGGUAAUACGUAUGGCGCAAAUC
rnacentral:rRNA from 1 species